CAACUUUCAACAAUGGAUCUCUUGGCUCUGGCAUCGAUGAAGAACGCAGCGAAAUGCGAUAAGUAGUGUGAAUUGCAGAAUUCAGUGAAUCAUUGAAUCUUUGAACGCACAUUGCGCCCCUUGGUAUUCCAUGGGGCAUGCCUGUUCGAGCGUCAUCU
rnacentral:rRNA from 1 species